rnacentral:rRNA from 1 species
GUCAGUGGACAAACCUCCUUGUCAAAGCCUAACCUUGUCAGAUCUCAGAAGCUAAGCAGGGUUGAGCCUGGUUAGUACUUGGACAGGAGACCGCUGGGAAUUUUAGAUUGCAUAGUGG